CUGCAACCACGUUGACCAAGUAACGGAGCUGCAGAAAAGGAAUGAAGGCCUUGAACGGAAGGUCGCAGAGCAGCAAGACAUGAUAGCGACUACAAAGGUCAUCAUGUGCCAAACACGGUUAGGAAGAUGAAUUGAAGAAAAAGUCCCUCUUUGGCAAGCCAACAACAAUGGGAAGGGGCAGGAACCAAAAGAUGCCCUGGACCCAAGGAAUGUGAAAGCAGUUCUUGGAAAGACUUGCUCAGUGUUCCAGUGUGCCAAUAAAGAGGACCCCAAGCUCCCUUCUUCAAAAAUUGAACAAGAAGUACAAAGCAGCGGAAAGCCCCUAGCAAAGCCCCCAACACAGCCCAUUUUUUGUAUCACGUCUGGCCACACUUUUUGUGCAAUAGUAAAAGGAGUCAGUU